rnacentral:rRNA from 1 species
GAUGAACGCUGGCGGCGUGCCUAAUACAUGCAAGUCGAGCGAACAGACGAGGAGCUUGCUCCUCUGACGUUAGCGGCGGACGGGUGAGUAACACGUGGAUAACCUACCUAUAAGACUGGGAUAACUUCGGGAAACCGGAGCUAAUACCGGAUAAUAUAUUGAACCGCAUGGUUCAAUAGUGAAAGACGGUCUUGCUGUCACUUAUAGAUGGAUCCGCGCCGCAUUAGCUAGUUGGUAAGGUAACGGCUUACCAAGGCAACGAUGCGUAGCCGACCUGAGAGGGGGAGCGGCCACACUGGAACUGAGACACGGUCCAGACUCCUACGGGAGGCAGCAGUAGGGAAUCGUCCGCAAUGGGCGAAAGCCUGACGGAGCAACGCCGCGUGAGUGAUGAAGGUCUUCGGAUCGUAAAACUCUGUUAUUAGGGAAGAAGAAAUGUGUAAGUAACUAUGCACGUCUUGACGGUACCUAAACAGAAAGCCACGGCUAACUACGUG